rnacentral:lncRNA from 1 species
ACAUCCCUCGGCUGUACCUAAUGUGUUUUAAGACACGUUCUUACUAAAAAUCUUGAAACCAUUGAUUCGGAGAUCAGAAGGAUUGACAGAAUCAGCAUAGACCAGGAAGUAGAAUAGAGAUACUGUAUCUUUUAACAAUAAGAGAGAACUUUUGCCAGUCUUCUGGUUAUCAGGCACAAAUCUUUAUAAUAAGUAAAUAGACAUUUAAUUGCUACCUUCAGGAAAAUACGUUGCAGAAAAAUUUUCAUAACAUUUUACUUUGUCUAAAAUAUGGCAUCAUUGAAACCCAGUAAGAUUCAAUAGAUUGAACCGUGUUUAUAUUUUCAAGAUUAGUCUCGUUUAAGAUAAAUGAUAUGCUUUUGUCUACAUUAGUGUUAAUAAGUAAAUAAAGAUGAUUUUACUAAGAAUGUUUGAAUUUUAUGGUUGGCAUUUUAUGUGUAGAAACCUGUGGUCCAAGGUAAUUGAAAGUAUCUUCAUGAUUUUGAUGAUAUUUCUAAGUAGAGGAAUGGACAGAACACUGAUUUUAUGAGAAGAGCAAUUUUUCUUUGCUAAGAUCACUAUCACUAACUACAAAGAUGAUAAUUUGUUUAUGUCAUUUAAUUUGUCAGUAAUUUCCCCUUUGGUAAUUAAAAAAUGGAUAGAUGCUAAAUUAUUUUAGCUUUGGAGACAUAUUUAUCUUUCCUCUGAAGCAAUUCUAUAGAAAAAAUUAUACAGGAGAAGAAUGUCUUGCUGAAAUUUAUCAAUUAUAAGCAAAAUGUUAAAUGCUAUUGAUUUAUAUAUUGGAGAGUUUUCUUCAUAUUUUGCAAUUUAGCUUGUUAAAAUAGUAAAAUGUUUUGGAAGC